rnacentral:snRNA from 13 species
AUACUUACCUGGCAGGGGAAAUACCAUGAUCACGAAGGUGGUUUUUCCAGGGUAAGGCUCAUUUAUUGCACUCCAGACCCCUGUGAUUUCCCGAAUUGUGGGAAACUCAACUGCAUAAUUUGUGGUAGUGGUGGACUGUGUUCAGUCCAGACUUAAA